UCUUUUGAUACUCACAUGUUGGUUAAAUUUUUAUUUUCUAGUUUACUAGAUAAGUUCCAUGUUUACUGAUACUUGUGAAUAUUAUAGGACAAAUUUGACAGUGAUGACAUAAAUGAUCAACGAGAUCAUGGCUUGAAACAUACGAGGAAGUUAUGGAACAAUUGGAGAGGAUCGUUGCACAAGAAUAUAAGUCUAAGCCAUUUCGUGAUGCUCUAAAAGAUGUACCAAAUGGGGUAGACAAGAGUGAUUGGGAAUGGCUCGUCAAGGAGCAUUUUUUGACUGAAAAAUUUAAGGAAAAAAAGUGCAAGAAACUCGGUCAAUAGGUCUAAGUUGAGUAUGCCUCAUCGUACGGGUAGUAAGCCAAUUAGAGAGAUUAUUUAUGAAUUGGUUAAAAUCCAAGAAGUGGUGCAAUCUGAAUCAUCUCUUACAAACAUUGAGGUUGUAGAGAGGUGCUUUAGACCUCAACGCAAGAGUCAUGUUGUUGGAUUUGGUGUUGGGAUAACCGCUAAGAAGUUGAAAGGUGGUAACUCCUCGAAAGCUGCAUUAUUAGAGAAGCUAAAUGCUACUGAAAAAGAAACGAAUCACUAAAAGGAUGCCUGAAAGAGCUAGAGAGUAAAUACACACAGCUUGCAAGUGCAGUAUUUCAUCAGACUUCAUCACCAUCUUCAAGUGAGCAAUAGAUUGAAGCAUUUAACAGAUCAAACAUUUGAAGUCCGAAGAACUAUCCUUGAAGAAAGUGUACGGCAAGUUGAAGUACAAGAGGUUUAUGCUUUGUUAGGGAUGGUUUAAACAUCUUGUACAUAUGCUGCAAUUUUAUGUUUCUCUUUUAGGAAUUAUAAAAAAUGAUGUCAUACGAUUUAGAUUAGUUUCUGGUAAAUAUGAUACUUUAGUUCUUUGUAAUAACAAAAACAUGAAGUAUUUGGUUUAUUUUCGAGUGUUGUUGAGUGUGUAUGAAAGCAUAUAAAUAAUUAUUUCUAUUUA